ensembl:ncRNA T13H10.13 ncRNA
UUCGAAACUGCUCAUUUGGACACACUAUUUUUUUCAACUGGCGCUCGAGUGUCUGCUUGAGAGCUUUUCCCUAGUCGACGUGUAAAGGUCAGAGAAGACACAAGAACUUGGUGGGGGGACUGUGAUGAUGCUGAUGAUGAUUUAGGUGGU